rnacentral:rRNA from 1 species
UUCGCAAUGCCCGAAAGGGUGACGAAGCGACGCCGCGUGGAUGAAGAAGGCCUUCGGGUUGUAAAAUCCUGUCAGGAGUUAAGAAAUGCAAGUUUGAGAAUACCAAAUUUACUUGACAAAGGCUCCAAAGGAAGCCACGGCUAACUCUGUGCCAGCAGCCGCGGUAAUACAGAGGUGGCGAGCGUUGUUCGGAAUUAUUGGGCGUAAAGAGCACGUAGGUGGAUUUGUAAGUCAGAUGUGAAAGCCUUCUGUUCAACGGAAGAAUUGCAUCUGAAACUACAAACCUUGAGUAUAGGAGGGGAGAGUGGAACUUCUGGUGGAGCGGUGAAAUGCGUAGAUAUCAGAAGGAACGCCGGCGGCGAAAGCGACUCUCUGGCCUAUUACUGACACUGAGUGUGCGAAAGCUAGGGGAGCAAACGAGAUUAGAUACCCCGGUAGUCCUAGCCGUAAACGAUGGGCACUAAGUAGAGGGGUUUU